UCACUUUUGCUCUCCCUCUCCUUCUCUCCCCCUCUCCCCGCCGCCUGGUACUAUCGAUCCCUGUGCCUAAUUCCCAAGCCAUAGGAAGUAGAAAGUAAGGAAGUGUGCUUGAAAUGUGAAAACCUAAAGUAGCAUUGGUGGGUGGCCACAGCAGGUUUGGCGCGGCGGUGACGUCACGAGUGAGUUGGGAAGGCUCCACCAGAUGGCACCGUAAUAGCUCGAGGGUUACCAGUGCAGGAACAAAGCACAGUCUUUUGAUAGACGUGACGGGGUGCGUUAGUGAGAGCUCUCUGUUUUAGUGUCAAAAUGUUGAAGCUUUUAGCAUUCACGUCUGUUCUUCUGAUAGGUAUGUGCUCGUAGAGAGAGUGGGAAAGUGAGAGAGUGAGUGAGUGAGAGAGGUGUUGCAGUGUUCCUCUCUUACUCAUUUUAUCAUUCAUCUUCUUUAUUUUUCUCCCUUUUUCUUUCUUUUCUCUCUCUUUCUCCUCAUUUUUCUCCUUUAUCGCCAGUGUCUUCUUUGUCAUCAUCAUCAUCCUUUUCUUCCUUCCUCGUAUAUUAUUUCCUUCUUUCCUCCUUUUUAUUAUUAUCUCCUUCCGUCUCUUCGUUAUUCUUAUUCAUUGUUAUCACCUUCCUCGUUGUCAUCUUCGUCACUGUGGUUCUUUUCUUUCUCUCUCUCUUUUCUUUCUCCUUCACUUCAUCAGUCUAUAUCUCUUCCUCUUCUUCGUUUUCUUCUUUCCUCCUCCUCCUCCUCCUUCUCGUUUUCAGAUUAUUUCUUCGUCCUCCAUUUUUUUCUUGUUCUUCUUGUUCUUCUUCUUGUUCUUCUUGUUCUUGUUCUUGUUCUUCUUUUUUUAGUCUUGUUCUUAUCGUUCUUGUUUUUGUUGUUCCUGUUGUUCUCUUGUUCUUGAUCUUCUUCUUCUUCUUCUUCUUCUUCUUCUUCUUCUUCUUCUUCUUCUUCUUCUUCUUUUUCAUCACAGAUCUCUCAUUUGUCAUCCUUAUCCUUUUCCUGGUUUUUAUUUCCUCCUUCCUCCUCCUCCUCCUACUCCUCCUCCUCCUCCCGCGGCAUCGAGUCAACACCACAAUCUCUGAGUAACGACAAGCCAGGUCAUCUGAGGUCAACAAUGCGUGACCUCCAGCAGACAGGUAAUGACCCGCACACCUCCCUGCUCACCUGAGAUAGCACGUGACUCCCCUUGCCACCUGACGAAGGGGUUAGGUGGAGAGGUGGAUGAGGGAGUGAUGGUGGAGGAAGGAGAAGUGGAUGAGAGGUAGGAGAGAAGUAGGGGAGGAGAUGGAGGAGAGAGUAGUGUGGAUGGGGGUGGAUGGUGGUAGAAGGGGAGGUGGAUAAGGGGGUGGAAGUAAGGGUAGAUGGAUGAAGGUGAGAGACAGAGAGAGAGAGAGAGA